rnacentral:misc_RNA from 1 species
GUCACCUACAAUUGCUGGGGUCACUCUCGUUUCUCUUGGAAAUGGUGCCCCAGAUGUCUUUUCCAGUUUAGUAUCCUUUAUGGGUAGUGGGACAGGUGAUAUUGGCUUCAAUACAGUGCUAGGUGGUGCUUCCUUUAUCACCUGUGUUGUGGUUGGAAUCAUGAGCAUUCUGGUGAAGCAAAAGAAGAUCAGGGUUAACAAAGUUGCUUUUGUUAGAGAUGUUUGCUUCUUGCUUUUAGUUCUUGCAUCCUUAAGUUUCAUUUUGCUUCAUGGAGAAAUCAAUAUUUGGGGUGCAAUGGG